rnacentral:rRNA from 1 species
GAUGAACGCUAGCGGGAGGCCUAACACAUGCAAGUCGAGCGGAAUUUGUUCUACGGAACAGAGAGAGCGGCGCACGGGUGCGGAACACGUGCGCAACCUGAACUUAUCUGGGGGACAGCCUUUCGAAAGGAAGACCAAUACUACAUAAUAAAAUGAGUGUCAUCAUUAGAUAUUGAAAAUUACGGUGGAUAGUGAUGGGAACGCGCAAGAUUAGAUAGUUGGUGAGGUAACGGCUCACCAAGUCAAUGAUCUUAAGGGGGGCUGGGGGGGUGAUCCCCCACACUGGUACUGAGGCACAGACCAGACUCCUACGGGAGGCAGCAGUAUGUACUAGUAUGCGAGGAGUUAGCGCCUGAUCCAGCCAUCCCACUUGAAGGACUACGGCCCUAGGAGUUGUAAGCUUCUUUUGUAUAACGAUAGUCCUACUCUCGAGGGAGUUGCUGAAGGUACUAUACGAGUAAGCACCGGCUAACUCCGUG